GAUGAACGCUGGCGGCGUGCCUAAUACAUGCAAGUCGAGCGAACAGAUGAGGAGCUUGCUCCUCUGACGUUAGCGGCGGACGGGUGAGUAACACGUGGAUAACCUACCUAUAAGACUGGGAUAACUUCGGGAAACCGGAGCUAAUACCGGAUAAUAUAUUGAACCGCAUGGUUCAAUAGUGAAAGACGGUUUUGCUGUCACUUAUAGAUGGAUCGGCGCCGCAUUAGCUAGUUGGUAAGGUAACGGCUUACCAAGGCAACGAUGCGUAGCCGAACUGAGAGGGUGAUCGGCCGCACUGGAACUGAGACACGGUCCAGACUCCUACGGGAGGCAGCAGUAGGGAAUCUUACGCAGUGGGCGAAAGCAUGACGGAGCAACGCCGAGUGAGUGAUGAAGGUCUUCGGAUCGUAAAACUCUGUUAUUAGGGAAGAACAAAUGUGUAAGUAACUAUGCACGUCUUGACGGUACCUAAUCAGAAAGCCACGGCUAACUACGUG
rnacentral:rRNA from 1 species